rnacentral:rRNA from 1 species
UACAGAGGGUGCGAGCGUUGUCCGGAAUCACUGGGCGUAAAGGGCGCGUAGGUGGCGACCCAAGUCUGUGGUGAAAGCUCGACGCUCAACGUCGAGUCGGCCAUAGAUACUGGGUUGCUUGAGCACUGUAGAGGCAGAUGGAAUUCCCGGUGUAGCAGUGAAAUGCGUAGAUAUCGGGAGGAACAUCUGUGGCGAAGGCGACACCCUGGACCAGCACUGACACUGAGGCACGAAAGCGUGGGGAGCAAACAGG